ensembl:snRNA U4 U4 spliceosomal RNA
AGCUUUGCGCAGUGGCAGUAUCAUAGCCAAUUAGGUUUACCCGAGGCAAGAUUAUUAUUAAUUGAAAAAAUAAUAAUAAAAAUAAAGUCAAAUACUCUGGAGCAAUUUUAAUUUGUGGUACUAAAUUCAGG